ACUGUUCCCUGGGAUUGGCUUUGGGGAUUUCCUGCACAGCUUAGGUGGAAGGUGAACAAGGCAUCCUUCCGGGGUGGGGAUGGGGGGGAGCCAUCAGUGAGAUACCACUCUGGAAGGGCUAGAAUUCUAACCUUGUGUCAGGACCUACAGACCAAGGGACAGUCUCAGGUAGACAGUUUCUAUGGGGCUUAG
rnacentral:ncRNA from 1 species